GUCCCGGUAGCUCAGCGGACAGAGCGGCGGCCUUCUAAGCCGACGGCCGGGGGUUCGAAUCCCUCCCGGGACGCCA
rnacentral:tRNA from 1 species